AAAUUAAUGAUGAGGGGAUUGUGAUUCAAUAAGAUUGAUUUAGAGAUGAAUCGAUAGAGUAAUGGAGUGUUGUGAGAUUCUGAGAGUAAUGAGGUUAAGCCCUUUUUUUCCUUUACUAUUUCAAUCCAUUAUUGUUUUUAUUCUAAUAUUACUUUGUCUUGAAUUAGUCAAUAUUAGUUUGUGCCGACUUAGUUAAUAUGAUGUACUACCUUUUCUCAUUAUUAUUUUUAUUAGAAUUGUUAAAUAGCUUUCUUAUAUAUUUGUAUUUUUAAAUAUAUAGUUUUCUUA
rnacentral:lncRNA from 1 species